GAACGCUGGCGGCGUGCUUAACACAUGCAAGUCGAACGGAAAGGCCCUGCUUUUGUGGGGUGCUCGAGUGGCGAACGGGUGAGUAACACGUGAGUAACCUGCCCUUGACUUUGGGGUAACUUCAGGAAACUGGGGCUAAUACCUGAUAGGAGCUCCUGCUGCAUGGUGGGGUUGGAAAGUUUCGGCGGUUGGGGAUGGACUCGCGGCUUAUCAGCUUGUUGGGUGGGGUAGUGGCUUACCAAGGUCUGGACGGGUAGCCGGCCUGAGAGGGUGACCGGCCACAUUGGGACUGAGAUACGGCCCAGACUCCUACGGGAGGCAGCAGUGGGGAAUAUUGCACAAUGGGCGGAAGCCUGAUGCAGCAACGCCGCGUGCGGGAUGAC
rnacentral:rRNA from 1 species